rnacentral:rRNA from 1 species
UAGAAUUGACGGGGCCCGCACAAGCGGUGGAGCAUGUGGUUUAAUUCGAUGCAACGCGAAGAACUUACCUGGGCUUGACAUCCCUGGAAUCCCCUGGAAACAGGGAGUGCCUUCGGGAGCCAGGAGACAGGUGCUGCAUGGCUGUCGUCAGCUCGUGUCGUGAGAUGUUGGGUUAAGUCCCGCAACGAGCGCAACCCAUGUCUUUAGUUGCCAUCAUUCAGUUGGGCACUCUAAAGAGACUGCCGGUGUCAAACCGGAGGAAGGUGGGGAUGACGUCAAGUCCUCAUGGCCUUUAUGACCAGGGCUACACACGUACUACAAUGGCCGGUACAAAGGGCAGCCACUUAGCGAUAAGGAGCCAAUCCCGUAAAGCCGGUCUCAGUCCGGAUUGGAGUCUGCAACUCGACUCCAUGAAGUUGGAAUCGAUAGUAAUCGCAGAUCAGCACGCUGCGGUGAAUACGUUCCCGGGCCUU